AGGCGGCAGGUAGCCUAGUGGUUAGAGUGUAGAGGCGGCAGGGUAGCCUAGUGGUUAGAGUGUAGAGGCGGCAGGUAGCCUAGUGGUUAGAGUGUAGAGGCGGCAGGGUAGCCUAGUGGUUAGAGCAUAGAGGCGGCAGGUAGCCUAGUGGUUAGAGUGUAGAGGCGGCAGGGUAGCCUAGUGGUUAGAGUGUAGAGGCGGCAGGGUAGCCUAGUGGUUAGAGCGUAGAGGCGGCAGGGUAGCCUAGUGGUUAGAGCGUAGAGGCGGCAGGGUAGCCUAGUGGUUAGAGCGUAGAGGCGGCAGGUAGCCUAGUGGUUAGAGCGUAGAGGCGGCAGGUAGCCUAGUGGUUAGAGCGUAGAGGCGGCAGGGUAGCCUAGUGGUUAGAGUGUAGAGGCGGCAGGGUAGCCUAGUGGUUAGAGCGUAGAGGCGGCAGGGUAGCCUAGUGGUUAGAGUGUAGAGGCGGCAGGGUAGCCUAGUGGUUAGAGCGUAGAGGCGGCAGGUAGCCUAGUGGUUAGAGUGUAGAGGAGGCAGGUAGCCUAGUGGUUAGAGUGUAGAGGCGGCAGGUAGCCUAGUGGUUAGAGCGUAGAGGUGGCAGGUAGCCUAGUGGUUAGAGCGUAGAGGCGGCAGGUAGCCUAGUGGUUAGAGUGUAGGGGCGGCAGGGUAGCCUAGUGGUUAGAGUGUAGAGGCGGCAGGUAGCCUAGUGGUUAGAGUGUAGAGGAGGCAGGGUAGCCUAGUGGUUAGAGUGUAGAGGCGGCAGGUAGCCUAGUGGUUAGAGUGUAGAGGAGGCAGGGUAGCCUAGUGGUUAGAGUGUAGAGGCGGCAGGUAGCCUAGUGGUUAGAGUGUAGAGGAGGCAGGGUAGCCUAGUGGUUAGAGUGGAGGGGCGGCAGGGUAGCCUAGUGGUUAGAGCAUAG